rnacentral:rRNA from 2 species
AAACCAACAGGGAUUGCCUUAGUAGCGGCGAGUGAAGCGGCAAUAGCUCAAAUUUGAAAUCUGGCGUCUUUGGCGUCCGAGUUGUAAUUUGAAGAAGGUAUCUUUGGUUCUGGCGCUUGUCUAUGUUCCUUGGAACAGGACGUCACAGAGGGUGAGAAUCCCGUGCGAUGAGCAGCCCAGUUCCGUGUAAAGUUCCUUCGACGAGUCGAGUUGUUUGGGAAUGCAGCUCUAAGUGGGUGGUAAAUUCCAUCUAAAGCUAAAUAUUGGCGAGAGACCGAUAGCGAACAAGUACUGUGAAGGAAAGAUGAAAAGAACUUUGAAAAGAGAGUGAAAAAGUACGUGAAAUUGUUGAAAGGGAAGGGCUUGAGAUCAGACUUGGAAUUUUUCCCUUUUAAUUUAGGGGAGCUUUCUGGGCCAGCAUCAGUUUGGACGGCAGGAUAAUUGCGUAGAAAAGUGGCUCUACUUCGGUGGAGUGUUAUAGUCUGCGUCGAUACUGCCAGUCUAGACUGAGGACUGCGUCUUUAUGACUAGGAUGCUGGCAUAAUGAUCUUAAGCCGC